GACGAACGCUGGCGGCGUGCUUAACACAUGCAAGUCGAACGGAAAGGCCCUGCUUUUGUGGGGUGCUCGAGUGGCGAACGGGUGAGUAACACGUGAGUAACCUGCCCUUGACUUUGGGAUAACUUCAGGAAACUGGGGCUAAUACCGGAUAGGAGCUCCUGCUGCAUGGUGGGGGUUGGAAAGUUUCGGCGGUUGGGGAUGGACUCGCGGCUUAUCAGCUUGUUGGUGGGGUAGUGGCUUACCAAGGCUUUGACGGGUAGCCGGCCUGAGAGGGUGACCGGCCACAUUGGGACUGAGAUACGGCCCAGACUCCUACGGGAGGAAGCAGUGGGGAAUAUUGCACAAUGGGCGGAAGCCUGAUGCAGCAACGCCGCGUGCGGGAUGACGGCCUUCGGGUUGUAAACCGCUUUCGCCUGUGACGAAGCGUGAGUGACGGUAAUGGGUAAAGAAGCACCGGCUAACUACGUG
rnacentral:rRNA from 1 species